UCCCUUCGGAAUAGGGUAUCAAAGAGGGUGACAAUCCCGUACUUGACAUGACUACCGAUGUUCUGUGAUACAUUUUCUACGAGUCGAGUUGUUUGGGAAUGCAGCUCUAAAUGGGUGGUAAAUUCCAUCUAAAGCUAAAUAUUGGUGAGAGACCGAUAGCGAACAAGUACCGUGAGGGAAAGAUGAAAAGCACUUUGGAAAGAGAGUUAAACAGUACGUGAAAUUGUUGAAAGGGAAACGAUUGAAGUCAGUCAUGUCUGUUGGUUUCAGCUUGCCCUGCAAGUGUAUUACCUUCAGACGGGUCAACAUCAGUUUUGGUGCGGUGGAUAAGAGCGGAUUGAAGGUGGCACCCUCGGGUGUGUUAUAGCUUUCUGUUGCAUACACUGCCUGAGACUGAGGACUGCAGCUCGCCUUUAUGGCCGCCCCUCGGGGACGUUCGAGCUUAGGAUGUUGGCAUAAUGGCUUUAAACGACCCGUCUGCCCCA
rnacentral:rRNA from 1 species